UACGAGGAGUCCAAGCGUUAUCCGGAAUCAUUGGGUUUAAAGGGUCCGUAGGCGGUUUGGUAAGUCAGUGGUGAAAGCCCAUCGCUCAACGGUGGAACGGCCAUUGAUACUGCCAGACUUGAAUUAUUAGGAAGUAACUAGAAUAUGUAGUGUAGCGGUGAAAUGCUUAGAGAUUACAUGGAAUACCAAUUGCGAAGGCAGGUUACUACUAAUGAUUGACGCUGAUGGACGAAAGCGUGGGUAGCGAACAGG
rnacentral:rRNA from 1 species